UGAGCCAAGAUCACGCCAUUGCACUCCAGCCUGGGGGGAUCCAGACUUUAAGGUUAACUUCAUUAAUCGCAUAAACACAGGGCCAGUCCCUUUGCCAGUCAGUUGAAUGAAUUAAGAGGAAGAAAGUCAUACUGACUGGCAUCACAUGACACAAAGAGAACCUGCUUUAUCAGGGCAAUCCAAGGACACAAUGACCAAUUGCAGGAUCUUCCUCACCUACGUCUGAGUUUCUCAGUCUAGAAUUACAUCCUGGGUGCACUUCAGCAGAGGAGUUCCAAG